UCAGGGGCGGAUCAAUGCUGAUCUGACAGGAGGGGUGCAGAUUUCCCUGGGGGGUGCAUUGGUGCGCUGCCGCUACCGUGCUGACCGGGCUGUUGUGUAUAUUUUUAGGCAUAUCGCCAUGACCCCUGUUUUGUGACCCCUCCCAUGUGAUCAACUGAUCAAGCAUUUAAGUCCCUGAGCUAGGAUGGACAUAAAAUGCUCAAAUGCCCGGCUAGUACUUUAGUAGCUUGUUAAAUUAAUGCACACAGUAUAUUUGCAAAGUAUUAUUAUUCUUUAUUUAAUAAUUAUUAAUGAAUAGUAGUAUAAACCAAAAUAAUAUAG